rnacentral:rRNA from 1 species
UUUUGUAUAAUGGGUCAGCGACUUAUAUUCUGUAGCAAGGUUAACCGAAUAGGGGAGCCGAAGGGAAACCGAGUCUUAACUGGGCGUUAAGUUGCAGGGUAUAGACCCGAAACCCGGUGAUCUAGCCAUGGGCAGGUUGAAGGUUGGGUAACACUAACUGGAGGACCGAACCGACUAAUGUUGAAAAAUUAGCGGAUGACUUGUGGCUGGGGGUGAAAGGCCAAUCAAACCGGGAGAUAGCUGGUUCUCCCCGAAAGCUAUUUAGGUAGCGCCUCGUGAAUUCAUCUCCGGGGGUAGAGCACUGUUUCGGCAAGGGGGUCAUCCCGACUUACCAACCCGAUGCAAACUGCGAAUACCGGAGAAUGUUAUCACGGGAGACACACGGCGGGUGCUAACGUCCGUCGUGAAGAGGGAAACAACCCAGACCGCCAGCUAAGGUCCCAAAGUCAUGGUUAAGUGGGAAACGAUGUGGGAAGGCCCAGACAGCCAGGAUGUUGGCUUAGAAGCAGCCAUCAUUUAAAGAAAGCGUAAUAGCUCACUGGUCGAGUCGGCCUGCGCGGAAGAUGUAACGGGGCUAAACCAUGCACCGAAGCUGCGGCAGCGACGCUUAUGCGUUGUUGGGUAGGGGAGCGUUCUGUAAGCCUGUGAAGGUGUGCUGUGAGGCAUGCUGGAGGUAUCAGAAGUGCGAAUGCUGACAUAAGUAACGAUAAAGCGGGUGAAAAGCCCGCUCGCCGGAAGACCAAGGGUUCCUGUCCAACGUUAAUCGGGGCAGGGUGAGUCGACCCCUAAGGCGAGGCCGAAAGGCGUAGUCGAUGGGAAACAGGUUAAUAUUCCUGUACUUGGUGUUACUGCGAAGGGGGGACGGAGAAGGCUAUGUUGGCCGGGCGACGGUUGUCCCGGUUUAAGCGUGUAGGCUGGUUUUCCAGGCAAAUCCGGAAAAUCAAGGCUGAGGCGUGAUGACGAGGCACUACGGUGCUGAAGCAACAAAUGCCCUGCUUCCAGGAAAAGCCUCUAAGCAUCAGGUAACAUCAAAUCGUACCCCAAACCGACACAGGUGGUCAGGUAGAGAAUACCAAGGCGCUUGAGAGAACUCGGGUGAAGGAACUAGGCAAAAUGGUGCCGUAACUUCGGGAGAAGGCACGCUGAUAUGUAGGUGAAGCGACUUGCUCGUGGAGCUGAAAUCAGUCGAAGAUACCAGCUGGCUGCAACUGUUUAUUAAAAACACAGCACUGUGCAAACACGAAAGUGGACGUAUACGGUGUGACGCCUGCCCGGUGCCGGAAGGUUAAUUGAUGGGGUUAGCGGUAACGCGAAGCUCUUGAUCGAAGCCCCGGUAAACGGCGGCCGUAACUAUAACGGUCCUAAGGUAGCGAAAUUCCUUGUCGGGUAAGUUCCGACCUGCACGAAUGGCGUAAUGAUGGCCAGGCUGUCUCCACCCGAGACUCAGUGAAAUUGAACUCGCUGUGAAGAUGCAGUGUACCCGCGGCAAGACGGAAAGACCCCGUGAACCUUUACUAUAGCUUGACACUGAACAUUGAGCCUUGAUGUGUAGGAUAGGUGGGAGGCUUUGAAGUGUGGACGCCAGUCUGCAUGGAGCCGGCCUUGAAAUACCACCCUUUAAUGUUUGAUGUUCUAACGUUGGCCCCUGAUCGGGGUUGCGGACAGUGUCUGGUGGGUAGUUUGACUGGGGCGGUCUCCUCCUAAAGAGUAACGGAGGAGCACGAAGGUUGGCUAAUCCUGGUCGGACAUCAGGAGGUUAGUGCAAUGGCAUAAGCCAGCUUGACUGCGAGCGUGACGGCGCGAGCAGGUGCGAAAGCAGGUCAUAGUGAUCCGGUGGUUCUGAAUGGAAGGGCCAUCGCUCAACGGAUAAAAGGUACUCCGGGGAUAACAGGCUGAUACCGCCCAAGAGUUCAUAUCGACGGCGGUGUUUGGCACCUCGAUGUCGGCUCAUCACAUCCUGGGGCUGAAGUAGGUCCCAAGGGUAUGGCUGUUCGCCAUUUAAAGUGGUACGCGAGCUGGGUUUAGAACGUCGUGAGACAGUUCGGUCCCUAUCUGCCGUGGGCGCUGGAGAACUGAGGGGGGCUGCUCCUAGUACGAGAGGACCGGAGUGGACGCAUCACUGGUGUU